AUACGGAGGAGGCAAGCGUUGUUCGGAAUCAUUGGGCUUAAAGCGCGUGUAGGCGGACCAGUAAGUGUCUUGUGAAAGCCCUCGGCUCAACCGAGGAAGUGCUGGGCAUACUGCCGGUCUUGAGGCAGGUAGGGGCGGGUGGAACUCUAGGUGGAGCGGUGAAAUGCGUAGAUAUCUAGAGGAACGCCGGUGGCGAAAGCGACCCGCUGGGCCUGUUCUGACGCUGAGACGCGAAAGCGUAGGGAGCGAACGGGAUUAGAUACCCCAGUAGUCC
rnacentral:rRNA from 1 species